rnacentral:rRNA from 1 species
UGAGGAAUAUUGGGCAAUGCCCGAAAGGGUGACCCAGCAACGCCGCGUGGAGGAUGAAGGUCGUAAGAUUGUAAACUCCUGUUAGAGGGGAAGAAUAACUAAGUUUGGAGCUUAGUAUGACUGUACCCUCAGAGAAAGCCCCGGCUAACUACGUGCCAGCAGCCGCGGUAAUACGUAGGACCCAAGCGUUGUCCGGAUUUACUGGGUGUAAAGGGUGCGCAGGCGGAUGGGUAAGUCAGGGGUGAAAGUCUGCAGCUUAACUGUAGAAUUGCCUUUGAUACUGCUCAUCGUGAGUGUGGGAGAGGUUGAUGGAAUUCCAGGUGUAGCAGUGAAAUGCGUAGAUAUCUGGAAGAACACCAGUGGCGAAGGCGGUCAACUGGCCCAUAACUGACGCUCAUGCACGAAAGCGUGGGGAGCAAACA